AGAUGUCUGCUGGAGGAGGCGGGUCGCUGCAGGACAGAACCCUGAAUAAAGUGGCCCUGUGCUCGGCGGUGUUCGCGGGAUUUGCCUACGUGGGUUACUCUUACGCCAAGACAGCCUUCUGCAGGAAACUAGCGAGGAGACAUGACCUGUAUGAUGAAGAGUCUGAGGUGUCCCGUGUUGUGUUCCGGCGUCUGUCGCAAACCACACAGACCGAUGCGCUGCUCGGAAACCUGGAUGUGAGUAACGCUCGGGGGAAGCUGAUCAUCCGGCCCAAGACUGUGCAGGUGCGACAUUUGGAGAGGAUUCGAGAGCUUAAUCUGAAGGCACGUCAGUUUGCCGACACCUUCAUCGCCAUCCAGACUGGGAAUGGCCAUGCUGGACACGCACUUUCUCGUAACUCUGCCAUUCAUGACCCCAAGAGCCUGCAGUGUUCGCCAUGGAAUUCCCCACGGCUUCUGUCUCCCGUUGACGUGAAGCACCUCAUCACCUCAAGAUCCACGGAGAACCUGACACACAUUCCCCCAGACGGCUCACCCUGCAGACCAAAGUGGGUGCGCAAAAGUCUGAGGAGGAAAAAACUUGAGGCGGCCAAUGAUCCUGAUGGCCACCAGAAGAAGCUUGAGGAGGAGGCCAAGGCACUCUACUCUGACUCAAGGGAGGAGCUGGCCUCGUCCCUGGAGCACCUCACUAGCAGGGGAAGGAUACUGACACCAUAUGAAGCAAAGAGUCUGGUGGCGCUGCUCUACUCGGAGGACAAGGGUCUAGUGGAGCGUGCCCUGGCCACCAUCGCCAAUUGUGCUGCCUUCAGUGUCAACCUGGACUUUCUACGUGAGGUGGGUUGCAUCCAUCGCCUCACCGCCUUACUGCAGGACAAGGAGGUCAGGUUACCCGCCGUACAGACUCUCGGCAACGUGGUGCUGUCUGAGGAGAACAUUCGGCAGGCUAAGGACUGUUUGCCGCUGCUGAUGGGGUUUGUACAGAACAGCUGGGGUGACGAUGGACUGCGGCUGGCGGCCCUGGUGGUGCUCACUAACAUCGCCACCAUCAGCGAGUGGCAUGAGUCAUACUGCCCGCUGCUGCACAGACUGUACCAGCUUGUGGACAGCACCAACCCUCACAUACAACUGCAGAGUCUUCGGUUGCUGGUCAACUUGUCCUGCAACAGAGAAAUGAUUCCCUCAUUACUGGCAGCUGAAGGGCCGCGGCGUCUGAGUGUGCUGGUGGAGGGCGGCACGGAGGAGGCGGUGCUGCUGCGGGUGCUGACGCUGCUGGCCACGCUGGCACACGCUGUGGCUGAGGAUGACCUUGACCCCAGUGUUGACCUGCCUCCGGAGAAUAAGGCAGCUGCUCCGGACACUAUAGGAGAGGCCGCCCACACCCCAAGCAUGCCAAGUGACAGGUAUGCCCGGCUGUUCGGUGUUGGGGUGCGGGACAGACUGGUGGCAAAGACUGAGGCGCUCAUCACCUCCCACCACGACCCGGACAUCCAGAGGCAGGCCACCAGGCUCCACUCGGCCCUCAAGGACACAGUGGCCUUUUGAAGUCUCCGCCAAGCCAGGUGACACGAAGAGCCGGCCAGCUGACUGCCAGGAAGCGUCAGUGUGGCUGUCUUGUACAUACUUGACGUUUGACCAAGUGAUAUAGUUUUGUCUUGCUUGUAAUGGUCCACAGCAGCCACUUUUUAGUUUCCCUUGCUGUGUGUGGCAGAAUUUCCCCACUGAGAUGUCUGAACUAGUACUACCCCGCCUGCCUUGGCAACACUGUCUACAAUGGUAAUGAUCUGCUUUAUUUUUUUAAUCCAGAGAUAUCUUAGAGUGAAACAUUGAAGAGAUUACUUGUUUAUUUUGUAAGUGAGUCCCGGCGUGGGGUGUGUGUAAUGUGUUAGGUACUGAUGUGUGGUGCCACUCUUGUCCUUGUAUGAAGGCUGAGAACAGUUUGGCCAGAGUGAUGACACCUGCAAGUUAUCAAGUACUUACUAACCUUAUUUAUGACAUGUUCGCACUUUCCCAUCAGUGUGACACAAUCAGUCCAGUGGUGGUAUAGGAGUGCAUUAGGUGUGUGUGUGUGUGUGUGGAAGAGUGGUGGACAGGCGACUGGAGAGCAGUGAGCAGCAGUGAUGGUACCUGUUGGGCCUGUACAGGGUGGAGAGCUGCCCUGCACACCCUGUCUUGGUGCACCACAGCUCACCUUUGUGUGACGCUCACAGAGGCUUUGCUGUUUCCUCCCAUAACGGUUCAGAUCCUGAGGUGUGUGUGUGUGUGUGUUCCCAUAGUGAUGCAAGAUUGGCGUCUUGUCUUGGUUGCCUCGCUGCAGAGGUGCUUUCAGACUGGUCUAUACAGGUGCUAAGGAAAUGCUGUAUACAUACACACACACAGUUUAUUACUACAAUAUAUCACAAGUGUUUGAGGUGAUGGGCAUUGUGGUCCAGGCACUGGUGGUGGUGCACAACACCACCAUUACAAACAGUGGAAAGCAUUUCCCUUGACAUUUCACCACAUUCUCUUCCAGUGGUUGCUUUGAGUUCCUUCAACAUUGCCAGUCUUGUGUAGUAAAGCUGAGCCUCACCCACCACCCACCACCCCUGGUGUGCCCUACACCCGUCAGUGCUGCCUGGGGAGUUGUCUCUGACACGUGCCCUUCCAAACUCCCUCACUUCCAGGGUCUUUUGGGUGAAAUGUCCUCUUGUUAAGGCUUGUUUCAUUCAGCCUUUACUGCACAUCAGCUGUACCUGAAAAACAAGGAUAAUAUCCUGAAUUACAGCUGUACAAGUGUGCAUUUCUUCUUAGAUGCUGAAAGAGAGAGAGAGAGAGAGAAUCUCUCCUGCUGGUUUAGCAGUGAUACACAUUCAGUAAAAAUUGCUCCACUUUGAAUUAUUAAUAUUAACCAUGGCUAGCGCUAUGCAGCAGCAGGUGACAGUGACUGUGGCUCCCUGCCACACCAGACAGUUAACACUCUGUACUAUUGUAAGAUGAAGAUUGGUUGGUCUUAACUUGUGGCAAGAAAUAUUUCAGUGCAUCUGUUUCAGCUUGCACUGUUCUCCCAUGUGUUCCCACUGGCAAGCUGCGUGUCGGGCCAGUGUCCCCACCAGGGCGGCCACAACACACACACAUCACCCUCAGCUUCCUUACCCUUCUGGACUGACAGAACCUUAGAGUGUAAUCAGAAAUGCAGAAUACUUGAGGUGAAGCAUUCUGAACAAGGUAUUCUCAGCCUGUGCUGUAUUAUACACACUAACACUCCUGUAACACAUACACACACAUCAACAUUAUGCUGUAUUAUAUUAUUAUAUUGAAUACACCAACAUUACUAUGAUACUUAAACUGCACUUCCACCGAACACACUGGUCUGUCUAUCCUUGCUACCUGGUUUUUGUUCAGUGCAUCAUUCAUAAACCCCGGCACAAGCUUCCUACACACCCAGUGAUACUCUAACACUCCAACACUUGUGCUGAGGCUGCCGGGAACAAAAAUAUAUGCAUUAAAUGACUUGUUUAUUAUUUCACUUAUCCCUACAACAUCUCAGUAAAGUAACACACAAAGACAAGUAACAACACACAACCACAAACAUGCAACACCACACACUCUUGUCUUGGUGCUGUUUCUGUCCCUCACAACACACACACAUACACACACACCCCUGACAUCACUACUGUAUUUACACUUUUGUAUUUCAAAUGUGGUAUUUUUUUUGUACUUUUGUAUUCUUGCUAAAAAAAUUUCCCUCCUGUCUUGUAUUUCACCAUUGAAGUGUUUAUUGUGUUAUUUUCUAUUGCUGUAUUUUCAUUAACAUUUCUCCAGCUUGUAUUACUUGAUGUGUUUGUUAUUUUGUUAUUUUGUGUGUGCCACUUUUAUACUUUAGCUUUUGCUUUUUUUUUCCCCCCCCUCUAUUUCUCAUUUUGUAUUUUUGUAUUUUUUGUAUUCUCUCGUUUUCUAUUUAGUGAUGUGUUUGUUAUUAUAUUCUCUGCUUUAAUAUUGGCACUAACUCACAUUUUCUAUCAUGGUGUGUUUCAUAUUAUCCAAUUUAUAUUCUCACUAAUACAUUUAUUAUUUUUUUACUAGUUUUCCCUGCCCUUCUGUUUUUAUUUGUUUUUUCUCCACUUAUGUUGGUGUAUUGUAUUUCCUCUUCUCUUAAGGCGGGUUCACACGUGUCAAUAUGCGACUGAAAUUGCAAGUUGCUAGAAGUAUCGACUGAGCCCUUCUGGUCAGAACACAUUCACACAUGGCAACUGGAAAGUAUCGGCUGGUUGGCAGGAAGUGAAUGUAAACAAAAACUACUCAACAAGAUGUCUUCCUGUGGUGACGAUGACGAUUGUGAUCAAAUUUAAUCCUGACAAGUAUUCAAUCUUCACCUCCAACAACACCGUGCAUGGAGGGAAGCAGUCAUCAGAGAGUGGCAGCUGUCUCAUUGAACGCCAGUAUGCAGAAGCUUUUUUUUGCUAUAGAUUUCACUUUUAAGAUUCCAGAUGUGCUCUUUUUCACUCACCAUCUCCAAAAUCACAUUUUCUACAUUGACACCACAUUUCCAAACCUUUCUCAGUGACAGCACAACAUAAACAAAGUCGCAAAUUGGUUGGUCUUGUUUUGUGACUGGUUUUUCCAAUUGCUAGGCACCAAUAUUAAGUUGGAAACUCUACUGACUUGUAAUUUCAGCUGCAAAUUGACACAUGAGAACCCAACUUUAAUCUGUUUGUGUAUUUUCUCUCCUCUUCCUAGUGUCUUUGUUGUUUUUCUCCUUUUGUGUUGGCAGUGUGUUUGUGGUGUAAUUUAUCUCCUUUUUCCUAUUUUAUCCUCUUCCUGUUGUAUUUCUCUUGUAUUUCCUCUUCUCUUCCUGUGGUGUUCGUGUUGUAUUUCUCUCCUCUUGGUAAGUUUCUAUUGUGUUUCCUCUUCUCUUCUUGGUUUUAUAUUGUAUUUCUUCUCUUCCUGUCAUUUUUCUUCUGUAUUUCCUCUCCUCUUCAUGUUGUUUUUGUGUUGUGUUUUCUCUCCUCUUCAUGUUGUAUUUGUGUUGUCAUCCUUUUGAAGCCUUUUUAGCAGCUGUGAUACUCUUGCCCAGCUUGUUUGACUCAUGUGUUUCCCUGAGUGUUUCCUGAAGAGUCUGGUGUUCCGUUAGUUCAGCCUUGUGUUGACUCGUUCACUCUCAGUGCAAGGUUUGAGUUGCAUCUCUCGGAACACCGUGUUAGUACCUGUGCCGAUGUUUGUGUAACUUGGCGCUGUCUUUUAAGUCUAUUUUAAGUCCACUGUACCCUGUCACUGAUGAGCGUCUAGUGUGUAACCCGCGUAUAAUUGAGUGUAAAACGGAUGUAUAUACGAGUAAUUAUAUUCCUCACCUCUAUAAACAUUUGUCUUAAGCCUCAAAGUUGGUGGUACAAAUGUAAAUACACACUAUUCUAAUUAUUUUACCUCCUAAGCCUCACUGACAAGCAAAUCUGGUCAUAUCCCACCAUGCCUUAAAUUAUCAAGCUUCCUUCUCUCCUGUGUUGUGCGGCCGUUCCUUCAGUACUGAGUCUAGUCAUAGGUGUUUAGUGUUCCUGGCCCCCACUGUAUUUUCUCCUGUAAUUUAUUCAAAACAGGAGUAGACUAAGUACAGGUGUGCAGUGUUGGAGAAUUGAUUGUCCUCUCACUAGACCAGGGGUUCUCAACCUAGGAUUUGCAAACCCCAAGGGAUUCAGAAGAAGAUUUGCAGGGGUAUUUAGAUGGCUGGUCUAAUAAUAUCCUUUGUAUUACCAUUGCAUAUUGAAUUAGUGUCAGCCACUAAAUUAACAUUGUUUGAAAUCAGAUUACUUUUGGUUUGGUUAGAUGGUCUUUUAAAAGGUUGAGGACCAUUGCUCUAGACACUGCAGGCACACAUGAUUUUAUUUUAUGUAAGAGCAUUGGACUAAAAAGAAGUGAAAAGCUAACCAAGAGUGCCAGUCCUUGUGCAGUGCUGGGGAGGUGCUUAUCCCCUCACUUGGCACAACAGGCACACAUGACUUGAUUUAUUAUUUUAAGAGGGACAUUGGUCUUUGGAAAAAAAAAAAAAAAAAAAGGAGGAGGGAAGGACCCAGCUGCCAGUUCUUACAUAGAUGUGGCAUAGCUGAGGGAAGUGUUAGUUAAAAGGAUCACUCAAAAUUUAAGUAUACGAGUGUGUUGAAACCUUUGUCUUGCCAGAGUUGAAGUACUGGCUGGUGAAGACUACUGUUGCCUGGUGAAGUGAAGCUGCACUCAAUAGUCAGGUUUGUCAGAACAGCUUUGUGUUUGUCAUUAGUAGUGAAUCACAUGUCAACCCUCCCUCACCACCACCACUACCACUUUGGCUAUCUAGCUACCCCGGCAGCCUGUCUGGUGUUGUGUUGUGUUGCCGCCAAGCUUGUCUGUCGGUUUGGUUCAUGUACAAUCAGAAUUCCGUGUGAGAGGCAAUUUUGAAGUCCUGUGUUGCCUUAUGUGCAGGCAACCCACACGUCAUCAGUUUGUUGAGUGUUUUGUCUGCUUCAGUUCAUCUCACAGCCAGGAGGAGGAAGAGGAGUCACUGCCACUGCAACACUGUACUGUAGUAACCUCAACAUCUGCCUGCCACCCGUUGCCCCAACACCAGCAAGCAGUAUGGGCAGUGUUGUGUGGCAGCUUGCAGCAAGUGUUCAGGUGCAGCGGCAGACACCCUGACCCUGGAGUGUGGCUUGGUGAGCAGCAGCACCAGCAGGCUACACACACUGGCUGCCUGGUUAGGUGCUCGGUGGUCACUGCAACACCUCCCCUCGCUGUCCUCCUCACCACAACACCCUAGUGACAGGUGACAGUGGAUCCUGCACCUUCCCACUCUCCUCCCAGGCAUUGCUGACAAAAUCUACUUCCUUCCCUCAUUUUGUUUAGCCUCGGUCACUCACUGUGUUGGUCUACGGUGAUGAUGUGUCUGUGGGUGUCCUGCCACACCGGGCAACUGACCUGACUCAACUACUCUUGUUGCAUUUGUUGAGAUUAAAAAUUAUGGUUUCUCA
rnacentral:misc_RNA from 1 species